UGCAAGUCGAACGGCAGCGCGGACUUCGGUCUGGCGGCGAGUGGCGAACGGGUGAGUAAUAUAUCGGAACGUGCCCAGUAGCGGGGGAUAACUACUCGAAAGAGUAGCUAAUACCGCAUACGCCCUACGGGGGAAAGGGGGGGAUCGCAAGACCUCUCACUAUUGGAGCGGCCGAUAUCGGAUUAGCUAGUUGGUGGGGUAAAGGCCCACCAAGGCGACGAUCCGUAGCUGGUUUGAGAGGACGACCAGCCACACUGGGACUGAGACACGGCCCAGACUCCUACGGGAGGCAGCAGUGGGGAAUUUUGGACAAUGGGGGAAACCCUGAUCCAGCCAUUCCGCGUGUGCGAUGAAGGCCUUCGGGUUGUAAAGCACUUUUGGCAGGAAAGAAAUCGCGCAAAUUAAUACUUUGCGUGGAUGACGGUACCUGCAGAAUAAGCACCGGCUAACUACGUGCCAGCAGCCGCGGUAAUACGUAGGGUGCAAGCGUUAAUCGGAAUUACUGGGCGUAAAGCGUGCGCAGGCGGUUCGGAAAGAAAGGUGUGAAAUCCCAGGGCUUAACCUUGGAACUGCACUUUUAACUCCCGAGCUAGAGUAUGUCAGAGGGGGGUGGAAUUCCGCGUGUAGCAGUGAAAUGCGUAGAUAUGCGGAGGAACACCGAUGGCGAAGGCAGCCC
rnacentral:rRNA from 1 species